AUCCAGCUGACGAGUCCCAAAUAAGACAGAAAGCGCUUCAAACUGGAU
rnacentral:hammerhead_ribozyme from 1 species